CCCCUCUCAGGGUCUCAUCUGCAGAGUUUCCAAUACUCUACCAGUCUCGACUAUGGGAGGGAGAGUCAAGCAGAAGCAUACGCAUUUCCACUCCAAGCUUGGGCAGUGGCUAGUGAAUGGAAGGCAAUCUGCUACAAGU